rnacentral:rRNA from 1 species
AGCACCUCAAGUGGUCAGGAUGAUUAUUGGGCCUAAAGCAUCCGUAGCUCGUUUUGUAAGUUUUCGGUUAAAUCCAUGCGCUUAACGUAUGGGCUGCCGGGAAUACUGCAUAACUAGGAAGUGGGAGAGGUAGACGGUACUCGGUAAGAAGGGGUAAAAUCCUUUGAUCUAUUGAUGACCACCUGUGGCGAAGGCGGUCUACCAGAACACGUUCGACGGUGAGGGAUGAAAGCUGGGGGAGCAAACC